ACAGCCCCGAGUGCUGGGGCCAGCCCCGGGCCAGCCCCGGGCCGGCCCCGGCUCCCCGCGCAGCCCACCCUCGGUGUUUCCCUGCUGGUUGUGAUACCCGCACCCCUCAGGGGGGUUUUCCUUGUGGGGUUUGAGUUCUCAUGCUUGACUACUGGAUGGUUGGGUUUGUUUUUUUAUUUUUGGGUUUUUUUUGGUUUUGAGUAGGAGCCUCCCCGGGGUGUGAUCACGUGGGAGUGUGUGGGAGAUGAGCUUAGAGGUUGAAAAAAACAACAAAACAAAGGAAAAAAAAAAAAGGAAAAAAAUUGAAAAAGAGAAGAAAAGGAAAAACCUUCUGUGACCAGGAGAGAGCCACCAACGCCAGGAGCAGACAAAGCUGUCCCUGAAGAGCUGGCUUGGAAUUCCGGCAGGGAUCGUGGAGCUCUGCCCUGGGGGACCCGAGGUGCCCUCCAGGCUGCUUUGGGCAGGGAUGCUCCAGAGGCCCAGCAGGACCGGGAUCAGGACCAGGAUUGGGAUCAGGACCAGGAUUGGGAUCAGGAUCAGGACCAGGAUUGGGAUCUCUGGCUCCUCACCUUUGCUGCUCUCAGGACUGCACCAGCCACGCUCCCUGACUGCUGCCCCGGCUGCUGGGCUGCUCGGAGCCACAGCUGCCCUGCCUCCACCCCCACUGCAAUUCCCACAAGGAUUCCCAUCCCGCUGGAUUCCCAGAAAAGUUCCCGUCCUGCUGGAAUUCCUAGAAGAGUUCCCACCCUGCAGGAUUCCCAGGAGGAUUCCUAUCCCAGUGGAAUUCCCAGAAGAGUUCCCAUCCUGCAGGAAUUACCAGAAGGAUUUCCAUCCUGCAGGAUUCCCAAGGGUUCCAGUCCCCCUGGAAUUCCCAGAAGAGUUCCCAUCCUGCUGGAAUUCCCAGAAGCAUUCCCAUCCCACUGGAAUUCUCAGGAUUCCCAUCCUGCAGGAUUCCCAGAAGGAAUCCCACUGGAAUUCCUGGAAGCAGCAGUGCUGAUCCUGUCGCUGGCGAUGGGCUCGGGGCAGGGAGGAGAAGCAGCUGCAGCUCCAAUGUCACAGAAUCCCAGAUCCCAUGAUCCCAGAUCCCAUUAUCCGUGAUCCCAGAAUCCCAUUAUCCAUGAUCCCAGAUCCCAUUAUCCAUUAUCCAUGACCCCACAAUCCCCAGGCUGGAAGUCACCUUCAAGGCCAUGGAGUCCACGCCAGCCAAGCCCCAGCGCCACGAGUCAAACCCCAGUCCUGGCUGCUCCUGGCACAGCUGGGAUGGGCUUAGGUGCUGAUCCUGCCCCUAAACCCACCCCAAACCCCAGUCCUGGCUGCUCCUGGCCCAGUUGGGAUGGGGUUGGAAGUUAAUCCUGCUCCUAAAUCCCAGUCCUGCAGCCCUGGCCCAGCUGGGAUGGGCUUAGGUGCUGAUCCUGCUCCCAAAUCCACCCUAAAUCUCACUCCUGGCACAGUUAGGAUGGGGCUGGAAGUUGAUCCUGCUCCUAAUCCCACCCCAAACCCCAGUCCUGGCUGUUCCUGGCACAGUUAGGAUGGGCUUAGGUGCUGAUCUUGCUCCCAAAUCCACCCCAAACCCCAGUCCUGGCUGCUCCUGGCACAGCUGGGAUGGGGUUGGAAGUUAAUCCUGCUCCUAAACCCCAGUCCUGCAGCCCUGGCCCAGCUGGGCUGGGUUGGGACCCUGAAGCCCCCAGGCCCCUGUGGGACCCCCCAGGCCCCCCUGGGCUCUGCAGGACCCCAAAUCCUGCCCGGCCCCCCGGGCUCUGCAGGGAAUCCCCUCCCAGUGCUCCCAGUCCGUCCCUGGGGCAGCAGCCUGGACCUGCCAGGUGCUGCAGAGCUCCUGAGAGUGGAGAAGUCACUUCCCAGAAAAAAGGAGAAUUUUCAGCAUUUGAGGAAAAAGGAGAAUGCUCACAGCUGAGAAAAAAGGAGAAUUUUCACAUUUGAGAGUGGAAAAUUUUCACCAUUUGAGAGCAAAGGAGAAUUUUCAGCAUUUGAGAGCAAAGGAGAAUUUUCACAUCUGAGAGUGGAAAAUUUUCACAAUUGAGAAAAAAAGGAGAAUUUCUUCAUUCUUGAGAGCAAAAGAGAAUUUUCACCUUUUGAGAAUUCAGGAGAAUUUUCACCACGUGAGACUUGAGAAUUUUCACCAUUUGAGAACAAAGGAGAAUUUCUUCACUCUUGAGAGCAAAGGAGAAUUUUCACAUUGGAGAGUGGAAAAUUUUCCCCAUUGAGAAAAAGGAGAAUUUUUCAUGUUUGAGAGUGGAAAAUUUUCCCCAUUUGAGAAAAAAGGAGAAUUUUUCACCACGUGAGACUUGAGAAUUUUCACAUUUGAGAACAAAAGAGAAUUUUCAUAUUUGAGACUUGAGAAUUUUCACAUUUGAGAACAAAAGAGAAUUUCUCCACUCCUGGGAGCAAAGGAGAAUUUCCACUUUUCCCACAUUUUCCCACCGUUCCCAAUUCCCACCAGGAGGAUUUCACCCUCUGCUCCUCUCCUGGAUCCCAGCACUGCCACAAUUGGAAUUUUUGAACUCUGCACAACUCCAAACUGCUUCUCACCCGCUGCUUUCCCAGCUUUUGUAGGAGCUCAAACCCGAGUGAUGCUUUGGAGAGCCGAGCAAAACCACAGCUUCCACUUUUUGGGUCGUUGAAUUUCAUUUUUUUCUGGGAAUUUUGGCACCCUGGAAGCUCAGACUCGCUGCUGAAACACAUGAAGUUGGAAAAAAAAAAUGUAAAUAUCGAUGCAAAAAAAACAAAGCAGCAUCUUGCAAGACAAUGGAUUUAUUUAACAUUUAUUGGUACUUUGAAAUAUUGGAGUCAAUGUAUAAAAAACUUGGUGCACUUUUCCUACCUGACAGUAUUUUGGGGGGUUUUAUGUUCUUUUGUUAUGGGUUUUGUGCUGUCUUUUUUAAUCAGUGGAAUUGUUUAAGUAUUUAAUUUAUUCUUCUUGAUGUGCCCAGAGGACUUGUGCAAUUUUUAUUCAAUACAGUUGGUCUGUAUUUCAUGGCAGGAUUUUUUUCCUUAGUGUUUUUAGGGAAUAUUUGUCCAAAAUUACCUUUUUUUUUUUUUUCCCCCAUCCCAAUUUUCCUUUUUCCCACCCCCUCCUUUCCCUUUGUGUUCCCAGCACUGAAAUUUGAGAUAAACCCAACACCUGCAAUCCCCAACCCAAAACUUUCUCCAGGAAAAAAAAGAAAAAACACGUUAAGGAUGCACUUCUCCCUCUCUCUGUGUUUCUUGCAUUUUUAUUUCUCCCUGGGGGGUCGUGGGCUCCAAAUUUCAGUUUGGAGAUGGGGAAGGCGUGCAGAAAAUUCAAUUUUCAGAUUGAAAUUUGAGCAUUUCCAGGCUCUGAGGGAGGCGACACAAAAAGAAUAUUUUGGUUUUUCUGCCUGAAAAGCAGCUGGAUUUGUGUUGUACCCACCUGGCUGGAAGAUUUGAUGCCCUAAAUUGGUUUUUUUUUUAAUAUUUUUAAAUUUUUCUCUAUUUUUCCAAGGGGUUGUGAGUGUUUUCUCUUGGAUUUAACCACAUUUAACAGGAGGAAUUAAAAAGCAAAGUCCCCUCAGCCACCAGGAUCCUCCAUCCUUGGAAUUUUUGGGAUCUGGGGGAAUUUUUCUCUAUUUUUUUAUUUAUCCAGAGCCAAGUGCCUGGGCUUGGAUCCAGCCCGGGCUUGGCUCUGAUUCCAGCUGGGAUUUUCAAUUUUCCAGGGAUUUUUUCAGGUGAUUUCAGCCUUGCUGCCUCUGAGUUGGGAAAAAAAUAAUUUUUUUUUAAUUUUUUUAAAGGAAAAAUUAAAAAAAAAAAAGGGAUUGGAAGAUUUGAUGCCUUUAACCAAAAAUCCAGGGGGGAGAAGCUGAGCUGGGCUGGCACCAAACAGAAUUAUCCAUUGGAAAAUACCUCUGAGAUCACAAAAUUCAUUAAUUAAUCACAAAAUUCAUUAAUUAAUCACCAUCCAUUCAUGAUCUCGCAGCUUCCAGGAGAGAACUGGAGGGAGGAUUUGGGGAUUGAGGGAUCAGGAAAUGCCAAAAUCAGGGUCAGGAGCUGCAAAAAUUCUGUGAUUUCUGCCAGAAAAACCCGGGAGCUGCUGGAGGAAUGCACAGAACUCCACCAGGGGGGAAAAAAUGGAAUUAUUGAGGUGCUCACAAUUCCUGGUUGGGUUCUGGGGCUUCUCACAAUUCCUGCGUUGAGUUUUUGGGUUUUUUAGCAAUUCCUGGUUGGAGUUUUGGAGGUUUGUAGCAAUUCCUGGGUUGAAUUUUUGAGUUUCUCAACAAUUCUUGGGUUGAGUUUUGGGGUUUUGGAGUUCCUCAGCAACUCCUGGUUUGGAUUUUUGGAGUUUCUCACAAAUCCUGGUUUGAAUUUUGGAGUUUUUUUAGCAAUUCCUGGGUUGAAUUUUUGAGUUCUUCACCAAUUCCUGGUUUGGAUUUUUGGGUUCCUCAGCAACUCCUGAUUUGAAUUUUUGAGCUUUUUAUCAAUUCCUGGUUUGACUUUUGGAGUUCUGGAGUUCUUCAGCAAUUCCUGGUUGGAAUUUUUGGGUUCCUCAGCAAUUCCUCGUUGGAGUUUUGGGGUUCCCCAGCAGCUCCUGGUUUGAAUUUUUGGGUUUCUCACCAAUUCCUGGUUGGAGUUUCAGAGUUUUGGAGUUCUUCACUAAUUCCUGGUUGGCUUUUUGGGUUCCUCAGCAACUCCUGGUUGGAAUUUUUGAGUUUUUUAGCAAUUCCUGGUUUAACUUUUGAAGUUCUGGAGCUCCUCAGCAAUUCCUGGUUGGAUUUUUGGGUUCCUCAGCAAUUCCUGGUUUGAAUUAUUGAGUUUCUCACAAUUCCUGGUUGGAGUUUUGGAGUUCUGGAGCUCCUCAGCAAUUCCUGGUUGGAUUUUUGAGUUUUUUAGCAAUUCCUGGUUGGAUUUUUGGGUUCCUCAGCAAUUCCUGGUUGGAUUUUUGAGUUUUUUAGCAAUUCCUGGUUGGAUUUUUGGGUUCCUCACCAAUUCCUGGUUUGGAUUUUUGAGUUUUUUAGCAAUUCCUGGUUGGAUUUUUGGGUUCCUCAGCAAUUCCUGGUUGGAUUUUUGAGUUUUUUAAGCAAUUCCUGGUUGGAUUUUUGGGUUCCUCAGCAAUUCCUGGUUGGAUUUUUGAGUUUUUUUAGCAAUUCCUGGUUGGAUUUUUGGGUUCCUCAGCAGUUCCUGGUUGGAUUUUUGAGUUUUUUAGCAAUUCCUGGUUGGAUUUUUGGGUUCCUCCCGGCCCUGCUGUCCCUGUCCGGGCAGAGGGGCCGGGGUGGCCCCGAGCGCUGGGGCAGAGCUGGGGCAGGGUCAGGAGGAACAACGGGAAUUGGGGCUCCCGGGGGGGUUGGGGUGUCCCUGUCCCUGUCCCCAGGGGCCACCUGGGAACGGCUCCUCCGGCUGCUGGGGGGCUGCGCCCGGAAUUCCCACCGGGAAUGAGCCUGGGGGGAGGGGACACCGGGAGGGGACACCUGGGGACACUGGGGGGGACAGCUGGGGACACCUGGGCUGCCACGGCUGCGUGUCCCUACAGCGGGGACAGGGCUGGGGACAGGGCCACAGGGCCUGGGGCCACCACGGCGACAGGGAGGGGUCCUUUGGCCACCUCCGAGAAUUUUUGGCCACCUCAGUUGUUUUUGGCCAGGCCAGAAGCCCAGUUUUGGUUAUCUUGGAUGGUUUUUGGCCAUCUCUGACAUUUUUUUUGGCCAUCUCAGAGGAUUUUUUGGCCAUCUUAGAAGAUUCUGGCCAGGCCAGAAGCCCCUUUUGGCCAUCUCAGUGAUGCUUUUGGCCACCUCAGUGAUGUUUUUGGCCACCUCAGUGAUGCUUUUGGCCACCUCAGUGAUGUUUUUGGCCACCUCAGUGAUGUUUUUGGCCAGCUCAGUGAUGUUUUUGGCCAGCUGAGGAGUUUUUGGCCAGCUCAGAGAUUUUUUUUUUGGCCAGCUCAGAGGGUUUUGGCCACCUGGGAGGUUUCUUGGCCAGGCCAGAAUCCCUUUUUGGUUAUCUCUGAGAUUUUUUUGGCCGUCUCAGGUUGUUUGGCCAGCUGGGAAGUUUUUGGCCAGGCCAGAAUCCCUUUUUGGUUAUCAUCUUCGAUGAUUUUUGGCCAUCUCUGACAUUUUUUGGCCAUCUCCGAGGUUUUUGGCCAUCUCAGAAUCCCUUUUUUGGUUAUCUCUGAUAUUUUUGGUUAUCUCUGAUAUUUUUGGUUAUCUCAGAUGUUUUUGGUUAUUUUGGACAUUUUUGGAUGUUUUAUCUCUGAUAUUUUUGGUUAUCUCUGAUGUUUUUGGUUAUUUUGGACAUUUUUGGAUGUUUUAUCUCUGAUAUUUUUGGUUAUCUCUGAUGUUUUUGGUUAUUUUGGACAUUUUUGGAUGUUUUAUCUCUGAUAUUUUUGGUUAUCUCAGAUGUUUUUGGUUAUUUUGGACAUUUUUGGAUGUUUUAUCUCAGAUGUUUUUGGUUAUCUCUGAUGUUUUUUGGCCCUCUCCAGGUUUUUGGGCAGCCCCAGGCUCUGCCCUGCUGUAAAUAAAAUUCAUUCCCCACCCUGCUCUGCUCCCUCCCCCCUCUUUGCUCCAGGAUUUUUUAACCCUUUCCUCGCUGCACCUCUGGAAGUUCAGCUUUUCUCUGCAAUCUCCUCUGUACAAUCCCAAGGCUCCUUCUUGUGCUGCCUUUUCCCCUCUCCCUUCUCUGAAGCACUCUUAAUAAAAACUGGAUAAAAACUC